GACGAACGCUGGCGGCGUGCUUAACACAUGCAAGUCGAACGGAAAGGCCCUGCUUUUGUGGGGUGCUCGAGUGGCGAACGUGUGAGUAACACGUGAGUAACCUGCCCUUGACUUUGGGAUAACUUCAGGAAACUGGGGCUAAUACCGGAUAGGAGCUCCUGCUGCAUGGUGUGGGUUGGAAAGUUUCGGCGGUUGGGGAUGGACUCGCGGCUUAUCAGCUUGUUGGUGGGGUAGUGGCUUACCAAGGCUUUGACGGGUAGCCGGCCUGAGAGGGUGACCGGCCACAUUGGGACUGAGAUACGGCCCAGACUCCUACGGGAGGCAGCAGUGGGGAAUAUUGCACAAUGGGCGGAAGCCUGAUGCAGCAACGCCGCGUGCGGGAUGACGGCCUUCGGGUUGUAAACCGCUUUCGCCUGUGACGAAGCGUGAGUGACGGUAAUGGGUAAAGAAGCACCGGCUAACUACGUG
rnacentral:rRNA from 1 species